UUAUAGUUCAUCUGGAAGACAUUGUUGGUAUAUAUUUCUUUUUAUCUUUUAAAAAAAUAGGUUUUAUUAUGGAAUCACUUUAUUUUUAACUGAGUUUCAUACACCUCUCAUCUUUAUGUUUUCAGAUAAUGGUGUCAACUACAGUUGCCUUUAGGUGAAAUGUUCUGUGGAUUUUUCCUUGAGAAGAGCAUGAUUCUCUUGAGGUUAAAAGAGAAGGCUAACAGAAAUAGCAGUGAUUCUUACCAGGAUUCAGGAAGCUACUGCAUAUAAAGCAUCCAACAGAUCAGUUGAUAGUAAGUUUCAUAAAUAAUGUCUUAAAGUAGUCUUAUUGCUGUGAUAAUGGUGAUGAUAUAAAGGUGUUGUGAAAAACAUCACUCAUCCAAACUGAUAGCAACACACCCAAGUACAGGUCAGUGAGAAUUAUCCUAAAGCCAACAAGGUACUAGCCCCAGAGACCAGACCACACUGAUGUCACAGCAUGGCGCUAAAAACACGUUAGUCACCAGUACUGAUUCUGCUAUGCCUUAUGCUACUAGGAUACUGGAGAAAGAUUGAGAACCAUUUUUCUAAAACAUGGGCUACAGAGAAGAGGCCCAGUAGGAGUUGUGAUUCUCUGUAUAGAUGAAAUAGCCAUUUGUUUACACUGCACUGGGUAUUCUGGGUGCUGGGAUAUAGCAGAGGAAGAUGAUGAUGAAAUCUUUGCUCCCAUGAACCUUGCUUUCUAGUUAGUACAGACAGAUAACAUACAGAUGUUUGUAAGUACUGUGAAGAAAAAUAAUAAAUAACCAGGGGAUCAGACAGGAAAUCCAGGAGGGGGGAGUUAUUUGAUGCAGGGUAUCACAAAGGGCCUCUCUGCUGAAGUGGCCUUCGGGAGAAAUCUGAAGGAAAUACGGAAUGACUCAUGAAGAGACCAGGUUGGGGACUUUUGAUGUAAGUGGAAAAGAGAAAACCAAGAAAAAGAAAAGUUAAGAAUUACUCUAAGGGUGGGCAUUUGGCCUGGCAGGUUAAGAAGCCAGUUGGGAUAUCCACAGCCCAUAUCAAAGUGCCUGGGUUUAAGUCCUAGUUCCACUUCUAAUCCCAGCUCCCUCCUAAAGCACAUAACUUGCUGGGAGGUAGCAAGUUAUGGCUGUGGUACUUGGAUCCCUACCACCAUGUGAAACACCUGGAUUGAGUUUCUAGCUCCCGGCUUGAGCUGGCCCAGGCCCAGACAUUACAGACACAGGGGAGUGAACCAGCAGAUGGGAGCUGUUUCAGUCUGUAUGUCUCUCUCAUGUGUAUGUAUGUCUGCCUUCAACAUAAAUUAACUUUUUAAUUAAAAGAAAAAAUUACUGUAACAGCUGUCCUCAGGAGUGGCAGACAGGCUGGGCUGCAGUCUGAGAAGACUGUUUGCCUAGUGACUAACUCUGUGGAGUUGGAGGAUAGUUUUACUCAGUCCUGCAGCCCCCAUCCUCAUGGAAUUCACUUGUAAAAUACUGUGAAAUCUUGGCACAGAUUUCUCUCUGUGGCAGAAGUAACUGGAUAAAGGAUACAGGGAAAGGGGCAAGAGCUCACCUUUCAAGAGUGAAAUAUUACUGUAGAUUGUUUGACCUGAGCAACUGGAAAAAUUGAGUUGCUUUUUACUGAGGAUUCUUUAGUAGGAUGGAAAAGAUUACAAAGCAGUAGUGUUUGGAGAGGAAAGGGAGACUUAAAAAUUCAGCUUUUGAAUCAUUAAAUGCAAUUUCUCUCUCUCUCUAUCUCUCUCUCUGUCUUUAGGACUCAAGUAAAUGAACAAAAACUUUUUUAAAGAAAAAAACAUUUAUUUUGGUCCCAGAAGCUCUUUAAAAUUCAUGUAUAGUUUGUUCAUAAUACAUAUUUCCCAUGAACUUUUUAAAAUUUUUAUGUAUUUAUUUGAAAGAGAGAAAGAUCUCCUAUCCACUGGUUCCCUCUCCAAAUGUCCGCAGUAGCCAGGACAAAGCCACAGGCUGGAAACUCACUCUGGGCUCCCAUGUUAGGGAGCAGGGACUUCAAUACUUGAGCCAUGACCUGCUCAGUCACCUCUCAGGAUUCACAUUAGCAGGAAGCUGGAAUACAGAGCUGGACUGGGAUGCAGGCAUCCCAGGCAGCAUCUCAACACCUGCACCAAAUGCCCAGCCCUACGUUUGAGUUGGAUUUUGCGUGUUUUGAAUGCUAGCUUGUUAUAAUCCUCUGGAGAAUUAAAACUUUUCAUUAACAGGCAGUCAGCUCCAGUUGAAAGUACAGCCUCCCCCAUACAGAUCAGUUUUCUCAGUUUUGACUCCUCUCUGCGGUCGGCUUGCCUCUGCUGGCAUUUCAGAGUUCUCAGUAGUUGCUGUACGUUUUGCUAAGAGUUUUUAAUUGUAAUUAUUUGGAGAGAGAGGCCAUAGUGUGCUUGUUACUUCAUGCUGCCUGGAAUCACAAGUCUGGUGCCUUGUGUUUUCUUAUUUCACAAUUUAAAUUCAGAUAUUGCUUAAUACUGUUAGUAUUUAGAUUUACCCACAUAUUCAUAAAACAAUGUUUUAAUGACCUUAUUCUUUUUGCAUCUUAGGCUUGCUUUCCUUUUAGGAUUUUUUCUUUUUCUCUCUCUUGCUACCCACCUGUUGGGGAGUAAGCUCUGUUUUUGUUUGUUUUUAUUUGCUUUGUCAUGAAGGACAGUGUGUCGACCAUUUGCAUCAGCUGUGGUCACACCAGGACUUGGAAGAUAAUCUUCCAUUGUGUUCUUCUAUUGUGCUCCACCUCCUUCUGCUGAGAAGGUCCUUGUCAGAUCAUAGGUGAUACAUGUUUCUUCUUUGGAAACAUUUAAAAUCUUUUUGAUUUUUGCUAUUCUAUUGUCCUCCUUAUAAUUCAUUUAUAUUCUUGAAUCUUAGAUGUGGAGUCUUCUAUAAAUAUUUUCAGCCUUUAUUUCAUGAAGUAAUUACUUUCUGUUUUUCUAUUAUAUCAUCCUAGAGCUUUGGUUAGAUAUUGGUGGACCAGUCUCAGUCUGUUCUAAAUAUCUCUUCACUUUUUUUUUUUUUUAAGAUUUAUUUUAUUUAUUUGAAAGAACGAAACAGAGAGAGCUAGCAAGCGAGAGCAGUAGAGCGAGAGACAGAUCUUCCAUCUGCUGGUUUACUCCCCAGAUGACCACAAUAGCCAGAGCUGAGCCGAUCCGAAGCCAGGAACCAGGAGCUUCUUCCAGGUCUCCCACAUGGGUCCAAGAACCCAAGGACUUGGGCCAUCUUCCACUGCUUUCCCAGGCCAUAGCAGAGAGCUGGAUCAGAAGUGGAGCAGCCAGGACUUGAACUGGCAUCCAUAAGGGAUGCUGGAACUGCAGGCUGGGGCUUUAACCUGAUGCGCAAUAGUGACGGCCCCAAGUUUCAGUUUUUUUUAAAUACUUAUUUGAAAGUCAAAGCACCCAAGGGGGUUCGGAAGAUGAAUCUUGUAUCUACUAAUUCACUUCUCAACUAGCCACAACAGCCAAGGCUAGACCAGGCCAGAGCCAGGAGCUAAGAACUGCAUCCUGGUCUCCUACGUGGGUGGCAUGGACCCAAGUACUUGGGUGAUCUUCCACUGCUUUCCCAGGUGCAUUGACAGGGAGCUGGAUCAGAAGUAUAGCAGCCAGAUUUAAACCAACAUUCUGAUGUGGGAUGCUGGUGUCACAGCAGUGGCUUCACAUGCUGCAUCACAGUGCCAGCCCCCCCCUUUUAUAUUUUCAGCCUUUGUUUUGUUUUUCUUUAUAGCAUUCGUAAUAGGAAGAGAUUAAUAGGCAGAUCAUAUUCAAGACAGAAAAUUAAAGCAUAAGCUAGUUUUAAGAUUAUGACCACCAGUUAGAGAAGAUUAAAGAUAUUGUUUGCUAAGUUGUAUGGUCUAGUUAACUAACUCUUUCAUUUGCGUAUUUUUACAUUUUGCUGUGAUAGGCAUAUGUUGCAGAUAAUUGUGUUCAGAAUUUUGUUACCAAACCUUAGUUGUGUCUCAGCUCCUUUAGGCAUCCAUGAGGUCCAAUUUGGUAGAUGGGAUGUAGAAGCAGGAUUGUCGGGGCAGAAGCAGUUUAACACACGAGCAUAGUGUUUAAGGUGCUUUAGCUGUAUAUUUAGACGUACUUUGAGUUAAAUCUCUGCUCUAAAAAUUUUGAAAUAUAUACAUAUAGUUUUUUCAUAGUGUGCAUUUUCUGUGAAUGAUUUGAAGACACCUCCUGUGCAUGGAUUUCAAGGAUUGUUUUUUUGCACCAAAAUAAACUUACCUUUUAAUCUAUUUUCCACAAACUUUUCAAAGUACUUUUGUACUUCUCGGCAGAUCCAUUCAGAUGUGGAGGAAUUAGUUUAUUGUUAGAUUUUAGAAGAUGAGUUUAGGUAAGAGUGCAGAAUUUUAAAGUCCUGCUUCCAUAAUUUAUUUGCUUUGUGUUCUGUAAUCAAAUAAUGUAAUAUCUUCCUUAGUUUCCCCAUCUGUUAAAUUGGAGUAAUAAUACUUACCUUGUAGGUAUAAUGAGAAUUAAAUAGCACUGGGGCUCCAUAAUUGCUGCUUCUGUUGUUUCUCUUGCUCUCAUUGGUGUUACCUUUUCCAUUCAGAAUCUGGAAUAUGUGGCAUCUGGAAGGAAGGUGGCUAGUGGGAAUCAGAUGGAAAUCAGUACCCAAGAUAGACAAGUUGGGUUGAAGACAGAAAAUUAAAGCAGACAUCCAGGUAUAUGAUCUGGAUCAGUGAGGGAAGCUCAGUAGACAGAAAGGUUUCUAAUCCCAGAUACGCUUUAUCUUGGACUUUAAGUACAGUUACAUUACCUAGGACACUAAAGAAAUCAGAAAGGCUAAAGGUUACCAGGCACAAGUUUCUAACCCCACAUGUGCUUUGUUCUGGGUUUACAUCUAAUAAUGUGACCUGAACCAAUAAGGAAAUUAGAAGGUCGAAGGUCAGUAGACACAAAGGUUUCUACCCCCAGGCAUGUUUUCUCCUUGACUUACAGCAACAAGGCUUCACUCCCUGCAAAUUUUUUAUGGAAAUGGCCCUUGAAAUGAAGUUAUUGCUACAGUUAGUUCUCAUAGGCUUAGGGACUUGUCAAAGCUGAGUCUGCUAUUCAAAAUUUCAAAGUAACUGCACUUCUAAGAACUAGAAUAAGCAGGGAUUUAGGGUCAUAAUUGUAGCUGAAAGUCGGAUUGGAUUAGAUUGAAAUGUGUAUAGUCAUAGUUCAAAAUAAUACAAUAGUUCAAAAUAACACAAACCAAGUAUCCUACUUCUAGGGAUUUAUUGUGAGGAAAUAAUAAAGGAUAUGAAUAAUGAUACAAUUAUUAAAAAGUUUUUGUCACAGUGGUGUUUAAAAUAGUAUAAGGACAGAAUUAGUCCAUGUCCAGCAAUAAAGAACUGAUGGAAUAAACUUCCACAUCUUUAUUUUCUUAAAAGAUUUAUUUAUUUGAAAGGCAGAGUUACAGAGAGGCAGAGAGGCGGGGUGAGGGGGUAGAUCUUCCAUCCGCUGAUUCACUCCCCAGAUGGCUGCAAUGGCCAGAGCUAUGCCAGUUGGAAGCCUGGAGCCAGCAGCUUCUUCUCGGUCUCCCACGUGGGUGCAGGGCCCCAAAGACUUGGGCCAUCUUCCACUGCUUUCUCAGGCCAGAGUAGAGAGUUGGAUCGGAAGUGGAGCAGCCAGGACUCCAGCCGGCGCCCAUGUGGGAUGCCAACACUGCAGACUGGGACUUUAACCCGCUGUGCCACAGCACCAACCCCAAAAUGAAAUUUUAAACACUCGGGAAAUUAUAUAGAGUUUUUUUUUUUUUUUUUGACAGAGUGGACAGUGAGAGAGAGAGAGAGAGAGAAGGUCUUCCUUUGCCGUUGGUUCACCCCCCAAUGGCUGCUGCGGCCAGCGUGCUGCGGCAGGUGCACCAUGCUGAUCCAAAGCCAGGAGCCAGGUGCUUCUCCUGGUCUCCCAUGGGGUGCAGGGCCCAAGCACUUGGGCCAUCCUCCACUGCACUCCCGGGCCACAGCAGAGAGCUGGCCUGGAAGAGGGGCAACUGGGACAGAAUCCAGUGCUCUGACCGGGACUAGAACACGGGGUACCGGCACCGCAGGCGGAGGAUUAGCCUAUUGAGCUGCAGCACUGGCCUAAA